rnacentral:siRNA from 1 species
CUAGACUUCUGGUACGAUCCCUA